CUCAUGAUGAAUGGAGAAGAUUUCACAGCAAAUUUGGAUGCAGAGCAAACAUAGAAGAGGCAUAUGGCUGCAACAAGCAAUCACAAGAAAAGCACAAGCAACAUAAGGAAAGCACAAGCAGCUAGAAGCGUAGCAAGGUCCCUAAAUCUGCACUGUCCAUCAAGAGAUGCUACCCAAAGAGGAGAGUCAAGGAAAGAAAGGGGAAAGAGCCAAAUUAGGAAAGAUUUGGGUGGCUAGGGUUUGGAGCAUCAAAAACUUAAGAACGAAAGAAGGGAG
rnacentral:lncRNA from 1 species